rnacentral:tRNA from 1 species
CUUCAGGUAAGCUAUAUAAGCUGUCGGGCUCAUAACCCGAAAAAGGUAAUACCCUGAAGA